CUGGCUCAGAUUGAACGCUGGCGGCGUGCCUAACACAUGCAAGUCGAACGCGAAAGUUUCUUCGGAAAUGAGUAGAGUGGCGCACGGGUGAGUAACGCGUGGAUUAUCUACCUACUGGUACGGGACAACAGUUGGAAACGACUGCUAAUACCGUAUACGCUGGUAACGGGAAAGGG
rnacentral:rRNA from 1 species